rnacentral:rRNA from 1 species
AUUGAACGCUGGCGGCAUGCCUUACACAUGCAAGUCGAACGGUAACGCGGGGCAACCUGGCGACGAGUGGCGAACGGGUGAGUAAUGCAUCGGAACGUACCCAGUAGUGGGGGAUAGCCCGGCGAAAGCCGGAUUAAUACCGCAUACGACCUACGGGUGAAAGGGGGGAGUCGCAAGACCUCUCGCUAUUGGAGCGGCCGAUGUCAGAUUAGGUAGUUGGUGGGGUAAAGGACCUACCAAGCCUGUGAUCUGUAGCUGGUCUGAGAGGACGACCACGCCACACUGGGACGUGAGACACGGCCCGACGACUCCUACGGGAGGGC